rnacentral:snoRNA from 1 species
UUUUUUAUGAUGAUUUUUAUGAGUAGGAAUCUCAUUGAGCUUCAGUCAUGCGUUGUCUAUGAAAUUAACUUAUCUCAAACUGA